UAGAGUUUGAUCAUGGCUCAGGACGAACGCUGGCGGCGUGCCUAACACAUGCAAGUCGAGCGAAGUGAUUUCGAAUGAAGUUUUCGGAUGGAUUUCGGAAUCAUCUUAGCGGCGGACGGGUGAGUAACGCGUGAGAAACCUGCCUUUCACAAAGGGAUAGCCUCGGGAAACUGGGAUUAAUACCUUAUGACACUUUAACCUCGCAUGGGGAAUAAUUUAAAGCGUAAAGCGGUGGAAGAUGGUCUCGCGUCCUAUAGCUAGUUGGUGAGGUAACGGCUCACCAAGGCGACGAUAGGUAGCCGGCCUGAGAGGGUGAACGGCCACACUGGAACUGAGACACGGUCCAGACUCCUACGGGAGGCAGCAGUGGGGAAUAUUGCACAAUGGAGGAAACUCUGAUGCAGCGACGCCGCGUGAAUGAUGAAGGCCUUCGGGUCGUAAAAAUCUGUCCUUGGGGAAGAUAAUGACGGUACCCAAGGAGGAAGCCCCGGCUAACUACUUGCCAGCAGCCGCGGUAAUACGUAGGGGGCGAGUGUUGUCCGGAAUUAUUGG
rnacentral:rRNA from 1 species